rnacentral:rRNA from 1 species
CCCUUAGAUGUUCUGGGCUGCACGCGCGCUACACUGAUGCGCUCAACGAGUUUUCGAACUUGCCCGGAAGGGUUGGUUAAUCUUUUUAAAACGCAUCGUGAUGGGGAUAGAUUAUUGCAAUUAUUAAUCUUCAACGAGGAAUUCCUAGUAAACGCAAGUCAUCAACUUGCAUUGAUUACGUCCCUGCCCUUUGUACACACCGCCCGUCGCACCUACCGAUUGAAUGGUCCGGUGAAGCCUCCGGAUUGGCGCGCACCUCGGUGCCGCCGAGAAGUUGGCUAAACCUUACCAUUUAGAGGAAGGUGAAGUCGUAACA